rnacentral:tRNA from 1 species
GGGCCGUUAGCUCAGUUGGUAGAGCAUCUGACUUUUAAUCAGAGGGUCGCAGGUUCGACUCCUGCACGGCUCACCA